GCCUUUCUAUCCAAAACCCUGAUUAAAGAACUCUGUUCCGCAGGCCCGAUCUCUGCUAAGAAAAGAUCACUGCUAGUAUUAUACCCUUCACUUCAAGACAGAAACUGGAGAACCUAGGAGACUAGGGGAGAGAUAUGAUAUGUGGUCAUGUUGAGAACAUUUAUAAAGCCUUAGGAUAUUUAGAAGGUGGCCUCACUGAGAAAUAUUGGAACAGCAUGCAAUCUGCCAAAAUGACUCUGAGAAACUAGACAUCAACAAAUUGAAACAAAGAAAAGUGGACAUAAUUUGGAACCCAAAUUCUGAUAUCCAUCUCCUUGGAGACAGCUGGGUGAAAUAGACAGGUGUCUUUCUUUCUGAGCACACCACGCACUUAAGAACAGGAGGCAUCUCCUUACGACAUAUGGAUUCCAAACAUGUUCU